AGCUGCAGUCGAGAUCUUUCGCAUGGGCGAAGCCUGACGAAGCGACGCUGUGUGAGCGAUGAAGGCCUUCGGGUUGUAAAGCUCUUUCGCUYGGGAACAAGAAAGAUGGGUGAAUAUCCMGUUGAUUUGAGGGUACUGGGAAAAGAAGCACCGGCUAACUC
rnacentral:rRNA from 1 species